rnacentral:rRNA from 1 species
UACGAAGGGAGCUAGCGUUGUUCGGAAUCACUGGGCGUAAAGCGCACGUAGGCGGAUGUGUCAGUCAGGGGUGAAAUCCCGGAGCUCAACUUCGGAACUGCCUUUGAUACAGCACGUCUUGAGUCCGGAAGAGGUGGGUGGAAUUCCUAGUGUAGAGGUGAAAUUCGUAGAUAUUGGGAAGAACACCGGUGGCGAAGGCGGCGACCUGGUCCAUUACUGACGCUGAGGCGCGACAGCGUGGGGAGCAAACAGG